rnacentral:rRNA from 1 species
UACGAAGGGGGCUAGCGUUGCUCGGAAUUACUGGGCGUAAAGGGCUCGUAGGCGGCCAAUUAAGUCAGACGUGAAAUCCCUCGGCUUAACCGGGGAACUGCAUCUGAUACUGGAUGGCUUGAGUUCGGGAGAGGGAUGCGGAAUUCCAGGUGUAGCGGUGAAAUGCGUAGAUAUCAGGAGGAACACCGGUGGCGAAGGCGGCUUGCUGGGCCAGUUCUGACGCUGAGGAGCGAAAGCGUGGGGAGCGAACAGG